rnacentral:rRNA from 1 species
UUAACACAUGCAAGUCGAGGGGCAUCAGGAAGAAAGCUUGCUUUCUUUGCUGGCGACCGGCGCACGGGUGAGUAACACGUAUCCAACCUGCCCUUUACUCGGGGAUAGCCUUUCGAAAGAAAGAUUAAUACCCGAUAGCAUAAUGAUUCCGCAUGGUUUCAUUAUUAAAGGAUUCCGGUAAAGGAUGGGGAUGCGUUCCAUUAGGUUGUUGGUGAGGUAACGGCCCACCAAGCCUUCGAUGGAUAGGGGUUCUGAGAGGAAGGUCCCCCACAUUGGAACUGAGACACGGUCCAAACUCCUACGGGAGGCAGCAGUGAGGAAUAUUGGUCAAUGGGCGCUAGCCUGAACCAGCCAAGUAGCGUGAAGGAUGAAGGCUCUAUGGGUCGUAAACUUCUUUUAUAUAAGAAUAAAGUGCAGUAUGUAUACUGUUUUGUAUGUAUUAUAUGAAUAAGGAUCGGCUAACUCCGUGCCAGCAGCCGCGGUAAUACGGAGGAUCCGAGCGUUAUCCGGAUUUAUUGGGUUUAAAGGGAGCGUAGGUGGACUGGUAAGUCAGUUGUGAAAGUUUGCGGCUCAACCGUAAAAUUGCAGUUGAUACUGUCAGUCUUGAGUACAGUAGAGGUGGGCGGAAUUCGUGGUGUAGCGGUGAAAUGCUUAGAUAUCACGAAGAACUCCGAUUGCGAAGGCAGCUCACUGGACUGCAACUGACACUGAUGCUCGAAAGUGUGGGUAUCAAACAGGAUUAGAUACCCUGGUAGUCCACACAGUAAACGAUGAAUACUCGCUGUUUGCGAUAUACAGUAAGCGGCCAAGCGAAAGCAUUAAGUAUUCCACCUGGGGAGUACGCCGGCAACGGUGAAACUCAAAGGAAUUGACGGGGGCCCGCACAAGCGGAGGAACAUGUGGUUUAAUUCGAUGAUACGCGAGGAACCUUACCCGGGCUUAAAUUGCAGUGGAAUGAUGUGGAAACAUGUCAGUGAGCAAUCACCGCUGUGAAGGUGCUGCAUGGUUGUCGUCAGCUCGUGCCGUGAGGUGUCGGCUUAAGUGCCAUAACGAGCGCAACCCUUAUCUUCAGUUACUAACAGGUUAUGCUGAGGACUCUGGAGAGACUGCCGUCGUAAGAUGUGAGGAAGGUGGGGAUGACGUCAAAUCAGCACGGCCCUUACGUCCGGGGCUACACACGUGUUACAAUGGGGGGUACAGAAGGCAGCUACCUGGUGACAGGAUGCUAAUCCCAAAAGCCUCUCUCAGUUCGGAUCGAAGUCUGCAACCCGACUUCGUGAAGCUGGAUUCGCUAGUAAUCGCGCAUCAGCCACGGCGCGGUGAAUACGUUCCCGGGCCUUGUACACACCGCCCGUCAAGCCAUGGGAGCCGGGGGUACCUGAAGUACGUAACCGCAAGGAUCGUCCUAGGGUAAAACUGGUGACUGGGGCU